CCUACGGGGGGCAGCAGUGGGGAAUAUUGCACAAUGGGCGCAAGCCUGAUGCAGCCAUGCCGCGUGUGUGAAGAAGGCCUUCGGGUUGUAAAGCACUUUCAGCGGGGAGGAAGGCGUUAAGGUUAAUAACCUUGUCGAUUGACGUUACCCGCAGAAGAAGCACCGGCUAACUCCGUGCCAGCAGCCGCGGUAAUACGGAGGGUGCAAGCGUUAAUCGGAAUUACUGGGCGUAAAGCGCACGCAGGCGGUCUGUCAAGUCGGAUGUGAAAUCCCCGGGCUCAACCUGGGAACUGCAUUCGAAACUGGCAGGCUAGAGUAUUGUAGAGGGGGGUAGAAUGCCAGGUGUAGCGGUGAAAUGCGUAGAGAUCUGGAGGGAUACCGGUCGCGAAGGCGGCCCCCUGGACAAAGACUGACGCUCAGGUUCGAAAGCGUGGGGAGCAAACAGGAUUAGAUACCCCGGUAGUC
rnacentral:rRNA from 1 species